rnacentral:rRNA from 1 species
CCUACGGGAGGCAGCAGUGGGGAAUAUUGGACAAUGGGCGAAAGCCUGAUCCAGCAAUGCCGCGUGAGUGAUGAAGGCCUUCGGGUCGUAAAGCUCUUUUACCAGGGAUGAUAAUGACAGUACCUGGAGAAUAAGCUCCGGCUAACUCCGUGCCAGCAGCCGCGGUAAUACGGAGGGAGCUAGCGUUGUUCGGAAUUACUGGGCGUAAAGAGUACGUAGGCGGUUAUUCAAGUCAGAGGUGAAAGCCCGGGGCUCAACCCCGGAACUGCCUUUGAAACUAGAUAACUAGAGUCUUGGAGAGGUUAGUGGAAUUCCGAGUGUAGAGGUGAAAUUCGUAGAUAUUCGGAAGAACACCAGUGGCGAAGGCGACUAACUGGACAAGUACUGACGCUGAGGUACGAAAGCGUGGGGAGCAAACAGGAUUAGAUACCCUGGUAGUCCACGCCGUAAACGAUGAUACUAGUUGUUCGGUCUACUGUGUACGUGAGUGACGCAGACUACGACAUUAAGUUAUCCGUCCGUCGGGUAGGUACGGUCGCGAGAAUUAAACUUAAAGUAAGUAGUAGACGNGNGAGNGCGACGACGACGACGACGGAGGAG